rnacentral:rRNA from 1 species
GUGCCAGCCGCCGCGGUAAUACGUAGGGGGCGAGCGUUGUCCGAAGUUACUGGGCGUAAAGCGCGCGUAGGCGGGCUCAUAAGUCGGAAGUGAAAGGCUGGGGCUCAACCCCAUGCAGGGCUUCCGAUACUGCGGGUCUUGAGGGCGGCAGGGAGAAGUGGAAUGGCUGGUGUAGCGGUGAAAUGCGUAGAUAUCAGUCGGAACACCGGUGGCGAAGGCGGCUUCUUGGGCCGUACCUGACGCUGAGGCGCGAAAGCCAGGGGAGCGAACGGGAUUAGAAACCCGAGUAGUCC